rnacentral:lncRNA from 10 species
CACUCUCCGCAAGCCUCGCGGUACCUGAGGCUCCUGUCCUCGGGUUCCGCCGCGAGGUGGAGGUUGAGACAGCGUCGCCUCGCCCCCAGGGCAGCCGCCCCUGGCUCGACCUCGCCCCCGAGAGUCAGCCUGAGCGGGUGCGCCUGUCCGUCGCAUCGCCUUCCUCCUCCUACCACGCCGCCGUCCAGAGCCUUUUUGUACCUUGUCGGAGCGAAUAAGGGGCCGCGCGGGGGACUAGGGUUGGUGCUCAAGGGGUCUCGGGUGGACCACCUGAGAUUAGGCGCACACACGCGGGGACGCAAGAUGGCAGCUAAAGGGAGGCCGGAAGUGACACAAGGCCACUUCC